rnacentral:rRNA from 1 species
UACGUAGGUGGCGAGCGUUGUCCGGAUUUACUGGGCGUAAAGGGAGCGUAGGCGGACUUUUAAGUGAGAUGUGAAAUACUCGGGCUCAACUUGAGUGCUGCAUUUCAAACUGGAAGUCUAGAGUGCAGGAGAGGAGAAUGGAAUUCCUAGUGUAUCGGUGAAAUGCGUAGAGAUUAGGAAGAACACCAGUGGCGAAGGCGAUUCUCUGGACUGUAACUGACACUGAGGCUCGAAAGCGUGGGGAGCAAACAGG